rnacentral:misc_RNA from 1 species
AUUUUAUCUGUUUAGGGAUUCGAGGACGUGUGAGAAGCGUCCACUUUUGCAGUUAUCCUAGCUUUUAGUUCACUCGCCGUUGUAAUGGAAAUCGGUCGCAAUCUCCGUCGCUUGUGUUGGUUCCACAUCCUCCCUUAUUGGAGAACAUUUGUAGUUUUCCUGACGCCCAUCCUGCUCCUACCAGUUCCUCUAAUCGGGACUCAGGAAGCUUUGACUGGAUAUGUUGUCGUCAUUAUGGCAGUCUACUGGAUGACCGAGGCCCUUCCUCUGCCCGUUACGUCACUGUUACCCAUAAUCGCCUUCCCGUUGCUGGGUAUCAUGAACACGGGUCAAGUUUGUAUGAACUAUUUCUCGGAGACCGUUGUGAUGUUUAUCGGAGGGUUGAUGGUGGGUCUGGCCGUCGAAUAUUCAAACUUACACAAGAGAAUCGCUCUCAGAGUGUUGAUGCUCGUUGGAACCGAUCCCAAAUGGCUGAUGAUGGGCUUCAUGAGCGUGACGAUGCUUUUAUCCAUGUUUGUUUCCAACACUGGAGCUUGCGCUAUGAUUUGUCCCAUCGUUGAAGCUCUGGUGCAAGAACUCUUUCACAAAGAUUCUAAGGAAAACGAAGGAGAAGACAAAACUCAACUCACGGCCGAAGAAAAUCAAGUUGUGCGGGAAGAGUUUGCAGACGAUGAUGACGACGUGCGAUCACGUAGAGCACGUAGGGUCCGCGUCACCCUGUUGCUUUCGAUCGCCUAUUCGGCCAACAUUGGGGGCACUGGGACACUGAUAGGAUCGACCCCUCAACUCGCCUUGAAAGGAAUCGUUGAAGAACUCUAUGGGGAAGACAACGACCUGUCCUUCUCUUCGUGGAUGCUCGUCCUUAUGCCGGCCGUACUGAUAAGCACCGCUUUAACUUGGGUUUGGCUGCAAUUCCUCCUCUCCGGAUUCAAAUGCCAAAAACAAAUAGAGAAUGGAGUCAAGAGCCAAAGUGCUCGAGUCAAAAAUCUCAUCCGGACCAAGUAUCAAGAGUUGGGACCGACCAGCUUCAACGAGAAAACGAUUCUAUUCCUUUUUCCCGUCUUGGUCAUGCUGUGGAUGUUUCGCGAUCCCAAGUUUAUCGCUGGAUGGGGCUCACUCUUUUCAAAGAAAAUAGGGGAUUCCGUGCCUGUGCUACUGAUUAUUUUGAUUCUUUUCAUUCUGCCCAUCAAGCCGGAUUUCUGGUGUUUCAGGAGUGCUGGAUCGGAAAAUGAACGGCCCAAAGCCAGUCCCGCCAUGCUCACAUGGGAGUUCAUGCACGAAAAGUUACCUUGGGGUCUAGUCCUUUUAUUGGGAAGUGGAUUUGCCCUUUCGGACGCUUCGAAAAUAUCGGGCCUUUCCAAAUGGCUCGGCCAUCAAUUGUCGGCCCUACAAGUCCUACCGCCGUUUUCCAUCUUGAUUAUUUGCUGCAUGUUGACAACUUGGAUGACUGAAAUUGUCAGCAAUACAGCCACCGCUAAUAUUGUCCUGCCCAUAUUGGCGCAAAUGGCCGACACCAUUCAUGUUAAUCCGCUCUAUCUGAUGAUUCCAGCGGCAGCCACUUGCUGCUACACGUUCGUCCUCCCGGUUGGAACUCCCGCUAAUGCCAUCGUCUACAACAGCGCCAGGAUGAAACCCUUGGACAUGGUUAAAGCUGGGAUUGUGACUAAAAUGAUGUCUGUUUUAAUUCUCUGCGUCGUGAUGGAAACUAUUGGCAGAGGCAUUUUCCCGGUGAAUAUUAUCGAGUCUUCCUUGAAUGCGAACAAUAGUACAUCACUGUAGUUUGAAUCUUUUUCAACGGCAAUCGUCCAGCUUCGAAUUUCAAGCAAACGAUAUUAUUUUAUAAUAAAGUAAACCGUUUAUACUUCUCUGCUGAAUAUGCUGUAAUAAUGCCAUUCCGAAUAAAGUUAGAAAUAAAGAAAUUCAACGAGGUUAAUAUUUUGAGCACCAGAUGGCUCUACCAUACGACAACAAAAAGAGCAGAAUUCAGAAUUGCCAAAAAUUACGUCGUUUCAUUUCAGCUUUUUAAUUAAUUAAUAAACCAUGGAACAAAAGUCGAGUUUCCAGUUGAUGAACCAAGAAGAAAGAGAGAAAAAGUUGGAUGAACUUCAAGUAUUGGAGAAGGAGUUGGGAACUUUGAAGAAGAAUGCGAGAGUAUAUCAAAGUCAUGGUAACAGCAACCUUUUCUUCCUUGCUGAACGGCAAAAAAUCCACUCUGAAACAAAUUUGAGCCUGGCUAAGCUCACUGACACACACAACAAAUUGCAAAAGUGAAGGAAGAAAAACUCUUAGAUCUAAUUGUUGUGUAAGGUGCACUGUGAAAGACACUUGAUUGCAAAUUCCAAUACACGAUAUGAAUGAA